rnacentral:tRNA from 1 species
GCGAGCGGUUACGGUAACAUCUUUAGACUUCCGACCUGAAGAAUGAGAGUUCGAAUCUCUUCGCUCGCU